GAUGAACGCUGGCGGCGUGCCUAAUACAUGCAAGUCGAGCGAACAGACGAGGAGCUUGCUCCUCUGACGUUAGCGGCGGACGGGUGAGUAACACGUGGAUAACCUACCUAUAAGACUGGGAUAACUUCGGGAAACCGGAGCUAAUACCGGAUAAUAUAUUGAACCGCAUGGUUCAAUAGUGAAAGACGGUUUUGCUGUCACUUAUAGAUGGAUCCGCGCCGCAUUAGCUAGUUGGUAAGGUAACGGCCUACCAAGGCAACGAUGCGUAGCCGACCUGAGAGGGUGAUCGGCCACACUGGAACUGAGACACGGUCCAGACUCCUACGGGAGGCAGCAGUAGGGAAUCUUCCGCAAAGGGCGAAAGCCUGACGGAGCAACGCCGCGUGAGUGAUGAAGGUCUUCGGAUCGUAAAACUCUGUUAUUAGGGAAGAACAAAUGUGUAAGUAACUAUGCACGUCUUGACGGUACCUAAUCAGAAAGCCACGGCUAACUACGUG
rnacentral:rRNA from 1 species